AAGUCGUAACAAGGUUUCCGUAGGUGAACCUGCGGAAGGAUCAUUAACACGUAUCCAACGUUAAACCCCCUCCGUGAACCUUCAAACGCAGUGCCUUGGCGCUAAGAGGGCUUAAUCAACCCAACGCGGGUGUAGCCAAUUAACAAGAUAAUGCACGCUUGACCAAGUCGGUUAUUUUUCCCCAAGCAAUCAGUGAGUGAAAGUGUCAUUGGUUGUGUAAGGAUUUCGCUUGACGAUCACUAGAGGCCGCUCACCGGCCGGUGGAUUAACUUACAGAUCCUUCAAUGGAUUCCUCCCCGACCCCAAUUUUUACUACCGCUCCGCGCUUAACAGCGUGGGGCACUUAAGAAAAACGUACUAAACAACUGUUAACAAUGGAUAUCUUGGUUCUC
rnacentral:misc_RNA from 1 species